rnacentral:rRNA from 1 species
GGUCUGAGAGGAUGAUCAGUCACAUUGGGACUGAGACACGGCCCAAACUCCUACGGGAGGCAGCAGUGGGGAAUAUUGGACAAUGGGCGCAAGCCUGAUCCAGCCAUGCCGCGUGAGUGAUGAAGGUCUUAGGCUUGUAAAGCUCUUUCACCGGUGAAGAUAAUGACGGUAACCGGAGAAGAAGCCCCGGCUAACUUCGUGCCAGCAGCCGCGGUAAUA